rnacentral:rRNA from 1 species
UAGUUUACUGGAUAUAUUCUUACAUGGAUAACUGUGGUAAUUCUACAGCUAAUACACGCAUCAAAACCCAAUCUUACGAUGGGGUGCGUUUGUUACUUCAAACCAAUCGGACUUCGGUCUGACAUCAAGUGAUAUUGAACAACUCUGCUGAACGCAAGGUCUAAGCACCGGCGUCAUAUCCUUCAAAUGUCUGCCUUAUCAACUUUCGAUGGUAGAUUAUGCGCCUACCAUGGUUGUAACGGGUAACGGAGAAUCAGGGUUUGAUUCCGGAGAGGGAGCCUGAGAAACGGCUACCACAUCCAAGGAAGGCAGCAGGCACGCAAAUUACCCACUCCCGGCACGGGGAGGUAGUGACGAAAAAUAACAAGCUGGUCACAUUGUGUUCCGGCAUUGUAAUGGGAACAAUUUAAAUCAUUUAUCGAGGAUCUAUUGGAGGGCAAGUCUGGUGCCAGCAGCCGCGGUAAUUCCAGCUCCAAUAGCGUAUAUUAAAGUUGUUGCGGUUAAAAAGCUCGUAGUUGGAUCUAGGAUUAGGGCUACGGUCGUUCAGCUUGGACGUACUGUAUGCCCGACUCCUUUUCUCUAGUAUUCGAUUGUUGCUCUUAAAUGAGUGACUUUAGUUGCUGGAACUUUUACCUUGAAAAAAUUGAAGUGCUCAAAGCAGGUCUUUGCCUGAACAUUGCUGCAUGGGAUAAUUGAAUAGGAUUUUGGUCCUAUUUUGUUGGUUUCGGGACACGAAAUAAUGAUUAAUAGGGACAGACGGGGGCAUUCGUAUUGCUGCGUUAGAGGUGAAAUUCUUGGAUCGCAGCAAGACGAA